rnacentral:rRNA from 1 species
CUUUACUGUAACUUGAAAUUGAAGUUGGACUUUACUUGCGCAGUAUAGGUGGGAGGCUUUGAGAAUAUUCUUGCGGGAAUAUUGGAGCCAUCAGUGAGAUACCACUCUGGUAAUGUUAGAUUUCUAACUUUGAAUCAUUAUCUGGUCAAAGAACAGUUUCAGGCGGGCAGUUUGACUGGGGCGGUCGCCUCCUAAGCGGUAACGGAGGCGCACAAAGGUUUCCUCUGAACGGGUAGAAAUCGUAUCUAGAGUGUAAAGGCAUAAGGAAGCUUGACUGUGAGACCUACAAGUCGAGCAGGGACGAAAGUCGGUCUUAGUGAUCUGACGGUGCUAAGUGGAAAGGCCGUCACUCAACGGAUAAAAGUUA